rnacentral:rRNA from 1 species
GACGAACGCUGGCGGCGUGCUUAACACAUGCAAGUCGAACGAAAAUACCAAGCUUGCUUGGUUGAUUAGUGGCGAACGGGUGAGUAACACGUGAGUAACCUGCCCCUUACUUUCCUGGAUAACUGCUCGAAAGGGUAGCUAAUACGGGAUAUUCUGACCAGCCUGCAUGGGUUGGUUUGGAAAGGUUGUUUUUCUGGUAAGGGAUGGGCUCGCGGCCUAUCAGCUUGUUGGUGGGGUGAUGGCCUACCAAGGCUUUGACGGGUAGCCGGCCUGAGAGGGUGGACGGUCACACUGGGACUGAGAUACGGCCCAGACUCCUACGGGAGGCAGCAGUGGGGAAUAGUGCACAAUGGGCGCAAGCCUGAUGCAGCGACGCCGCGUGAGGGAGGAAGGCCUUCGGGGUGUAAACCUCUUUCGUCAGGGAACAAGGCACUGCUUUUGUGGUGGUGUUGAGGGUACCUGGAGAAGAAGCGCCGGCUAACUACGUG